GAUGAAGAACGUAGCGAAAUGCGAUAAAUAGUGUGAAUUGCAGAAUUCAGUGAAUCAUCGAAUCUUUGAACGCACAUUGCGGCCAUAGGUAUUCCUUUGGCCAUGCCUGUUCGAGCGUCAUUUACACCCUCAAGCCUAGCUUGGUGUUGGGCGUCUGUCCCGCCGUUCUCGCGCGCGGACUCGCCUCAAAGUCAUUGGCGGCGGUCGUGCCGGCCCCCUCGCGCAGCACAUUUGCGCUUCUCGGAGGCCCGGCGGAUCCGCGCUCCAGCAAGACCUUUCACGACUUGACCUCGGAUCAGGUAGGGAUACCCGCUGAACUUAAGCAUAUCAAUAAGCGGAGGA
rnacentral:misc_RNA from 1 species